UAUUCGUUUAUUUUAAACAUGAUUUGAUGGUGAACAAAAUCCAAGACGUUUAUUCCUGGCCUAAAGAUGAAUCAUUUAUUCAAGAUAUACGUGUGAUACAAUGGCGCAAGAAAUACGCACAAUCAAGAAAUAAAAUAUCUAAAUUAUAAUACGUAUAAACGUCGAAGAAAUCCAGAGGUAAAAUGGAAAUAAUAGAACGGCUGAAGAACUUACUUCCACUAACCAAUUCGGGAACUGUCGAUCUGAUCUGGUCCAUAGCGGUCAUUGUACUCGCGAUCAUAAUAUUUUUUACUUUGAGGAAAAAUUAGUAUUUGGAGAAGAUUACUCUUCGAUUUUGUAUGCAGCGUUGUUCGGAAAAAAUUAUCAGGUUCGUCUUUUGCCCGGAAAAUGCAGCUUUAUUGUUUCUCCUCGUAUACAGCGGACUAAUUGGAGUGCUAAUUGCUCGAACAAUCACAUAUGUCGCACGUCAAGCUUAAUUCAAGGUGAAGAUUAAAAUGAUGGUGCUCACCAGAUAACACGAUGACGCAGCUGCACGAGGAAGAGGACGAUCAUCGGCAACC